AUUCAUUCAUCUCAAACUAAUUACAGUCUAUUUCAAAUGAAUUAAGUAACAAAUUCUAAGGUAAGUUGAUUUUUAUGAAUAAUGUUUAUUUAUAUGAAUAACUUACUAUUUUUAAUUUGUUGGUAUUUGUGGAAGAAAUAUGAAGUUUGUGGCAAAAAUGAAGUUGGUGGUGUAGGAAGCAAGUGGCUUCGUGCGGGGAAUCUGCCUGUAGUGCGGGGACUCCGCACAUCUUCGUGUGGAGUCCCUGCUUUGUGCGGGGAAUCUGCCUGCAGUCUCUGCACCAAUUUCGUGCGGGGAGUCUACGGGGACCGAAACUCGCUCUUUUUUUAAAGUUAAAUUAUAAUGUUUUUUAUAUAAAUUGGAGACAAAAUCUCAGAAUUAGAAAAUAUAUAUUAAAUCUGAUGAUUAAUAUGCAUUGCAAGCAAUUUUUUUUCCAGCUUACAUGAUAUAUAUAUCAUAAAUAAGUAUAUGAAAUCACGAAGAUAUGUUGGUAUGCGUUAUGAAAUUUUUCAUAUACAUGUUCUAUUAUUUGUAUAGAUGUCUCUAGAUUAUAUACUGUCAUCAAAUCAAUGAUUUUCUGCUACUAUCACUCAAUACUCCAAUUACCAAUAUGUAAAAGAUUGUAUAAAAUUGCUUCAAGCAGAUGAGCAAUCACUUUUACUCUCUAGCGGUAGCAAUUUUCAUAGAUUUCUUUAUGGAUUUAUGUAUAAAGAUGAAGAGCAACAAUUCAGCAGUAAAUUAAUACAUGAAUUUAUAAUGAGGUUUGUUGACUGUGGUAAAACGAAUGAGGUGUGGGUGAGGUUGGACAAUCAUUUUGCUCAUUUUGGCUUGCAAGAAUUUUGUCUAAUCACAGGAGUACCUUACCAUAAAGUAUCUGUUAAUCUUGAUCCCAACAAUUCUCGACUUAGAGAUCAAUAUUUUGAAAGAAAAAAGAAUUAACAUGAGAAUGCUUUACGAUGCAUUCCAAUUGUGUGAAGAUCCAGAGGAUAAAUUAAAAUUGGAAUGGGUGAUGUUGGUAGAAUGUGUUUUGACACCAAUGGAAAGAUAUAUUGAUUACAGAACUUUAGGCAUGGUUGAGCAUCUGAACGAUUUUCUGUUGUAUCGUUGGGGCCGUAAGGCAUACUUUGUUUUAUUGAAGUCGUUGCAACAAUCACAUAUUGAAAGAAUACAAAGAAUGCAACAGUCUGACCAAAAUGAAUGUAGAUAUAUACUAAAUGGAUAUCCCCUUGCCUUUCAGGUAUUUUUUUUUAUUUCUAAUUUAUUUACUCUAUAUUUUGAUUUUAUAUGUAUUUAAUAUUGAUUUUGAAUUCUCUGUGGUAGUUUUAGAUAUACAAAGCAUUUCCUCGAAUUGGAGACAAAUUUGGACGAUGUAUGUAUAAGACAUUACAGGCUCCAAGAAUGCAUUAAUGGAAGCCAAAAAAAAUAUUGAGUGAGAGAAGAGUAAAACAAAUUUUCACUACCCAAGAGGUACGAUAAUUUUAGAUAUACAUUUAAUUAUCAAUUAUCUAAUUAUUUAAUCGUGGAAGAGGAAAGUAUUCUAAUAUUUUAUUAUAUUUGUAGAUUGAAGUACUUGCGUUAGCACCCACUGAAGAAGAAUUGGACAGAGUUUGGUAUAUGAAUUUAUCAUUGCCAACUGAUAACCAACAUACUAUUUUAGAUGGCAUCGUUGGUGGAGAAUUUGAGAAUGCAUGCCAACAAAUUCCACAAUGUAUAGACGAGCAACAAACAGGUAUUGCUGGUAGUUCAACAACUCGGACUUCAAUUCGAGUUCAGGAGCCUAAUUGCUCUUCUCUUGAUUUCAACUAUGUAAGAAGAGAAGAAAUGGAAGAAAUGUUCAGUAUGUAUAGGCAGCACGUAGUGUCAGAUAUGUUUGACUUGUGUCAUAAUCUGAAGACAGGCAUAGUUGAUGAAUCAAGAAGACAGGAAGCAGAAACUCUUCAAAAUCAGAGACAAAUGUUUGAACAACAUCAGAAAUGGUACGAAGAUCAACACUAAGGUUCGGGCUUCCAAUCUGGCAUGCAUUCCUAUCAUAUUGCUCAAGAAACAAAAGAACAAGAUACUUGUUAUUAAGCAUUUCUUGAUCAAUAGAAAUAAAUGUUUCAACAACAACAGAAAUGGCAUGAAGAGCAGUAUCAAUGAAUACUUCAACAACAACAAAAAUGGCAUGAAGAUCAGUAUUUGGGAAUGAAGAUCAAAGUCAAUUCACAAAACCUGUCUGAAGUAUUAAGUCUAUUACCAAUUUCAUUGUCAGUAUCAUAGAAGUAUAGUUGUAAAUAUGUUGGACUACAAUCUAGUGGUACAAGAGAGUUUAUAAAAUGGUAUAUUUGUCCUGAAUUCUGAAA
rnacentral:lncRNA from 1 species